rnacentral:rRNA from 1 species
UUAAGUGACUAAGCGUACAUGGUGGAUGCCUUGGCAGUCAGAGGCGAUGAAGGACGUACUAACCUGCGAUAAGCCGUGAGCAGUCGGUAAGAGACAUUACGACUCACGGAUUUCCGAAUGGGGAAACCCACUUAGCAUAAGCUAGGUAUCGCUGCGUGAAUACAUAGCGUAGCGAGGCGAACCGGGAGAACUGAAACAUCUAAGUACCCCGAGGAAAAGAAAUCAACCGAGAUUCCCUCAGUAGCGGCGAGCGAACGGGGAUUAGCCCUUAAGCAUCUUGGAAGUUAGUGGAACGGUCCUGGAAAGGCCGGCGAUACAGGGUGAUAGCCCCGUACACGAAAACAACCUUGAUGUGAAAUCGAGUAGGGCGGGACACGUGACAUCCUGUCUGAAUAUGGGGGGACCAUCCUCCAAGGCUAAAUACUCCUGACUGACCGAUAGUGAACCAGUACCGUGAGGGAAAGGCGAAAAGAACCCCUGUGAGGGGAGUGAAAUAGAACCUGAAACCGUGUACGUACAAGCAGUGGGAGCCCUUCGGGGUGACUGCGUACCUUUUGUAUAAUGGGUCAGCGACUUACAUUUUGUAGCGAGGUUAACCGUAUAGGGGAGCCGUAGGGAAACCGAGUCUUAACUGGGCGUCUAGUUGCAAGGUGUAGACCCGAAACCGGGUGAUCUAGCCAUGGGCAGGUUGAAGGUUGAGUAACAUCAACUGGAGGACCGAACCCACUAACGUUGCAAAGUUAGGGGAUGACCUGUGGCUGGGGGUGAAAGGCCAAUCAAACUCGGAGAUAGCUGGUUCUCCCCGAAAGCUAUUUAGGUAGCGCCUCGGACGAAUACUACUGGGGGUAGAGCACUGUUUGGGCUAGGGGGUCAUCCCGACUUACCAACCCCAUGCAAACUCCGAAUACCAGUAAGUAAUAUCCGGGAGACACACGGCGGGUGCUAACGUCCGUCGUGAAGAGGGAAACAACCCAGACCGCCGGCUAAGGUCCCAAAGUUCUGGUUAAGUGGGAAACGAUGUGGGAAGGCUCAGACAGCUAGGAUGUUGGCUUAGAAGCAGCCAUCAUUUAAAGAAAGCGUAAUAGCUCACUAGUCGAGUCGGCCUGCGCGGAAGAUGUAACGGGGCUCAAACCAGGCACCGAAGCCGCGGAUUCACACUAAGUGUGAGUGGUAGGGGAGCGUUCUGUAAGUCUGCGAAGGUGUGUCGAGAGGCAUGCUGGAGAUAUCAGAAGUGCGAAUGCUGACGUAAGUAACGAUAAAGGGGGUGAAAAGCCUCCUCGCCGGAAGACCAAGGGUUCCUGUCCAACGUUAAUCGGGGCAGGGUGAGUCGACCCCUAAGGCGAGGCCGAAAGGCGUAGUCGAUGGGAAGCAGGUUAAUAUUCCUGCACGACUUGUAAUUGCGAUGGGGGGACGGAGAAGGCUAGGUGGGCCAGGCGACGGUUGUCCUGGUGAAAGUGCGUAGGUGGUGUUUCUAGGCAAAUCCGGAGACACAACACUGAGAUACGAGACGAACACACUACGGUGUGGAAGCCAUUGAUGCCCUGCUUCCAGGAAAAGCCUCUAAGCUUCAGAUUACAAGUCAUCGUACCCCAAACCGACACAGGUGGUCGGGUAGAGAAUACCAAGGCGCUUGAGAGAACUCGGGUGAAGGAACUAGGCAAAAUAGAACCGUAACUUCGGGAGAAGGUUCGCUCUUGACAGUGAAGUCCCUUGCGGAUGGAGCAGUUGGGAGUCGCAGUGACCAGAUGGCUGGGACUGUUUAUCAAAAACACAGCACUCUGCAAACACGAAAGUGGACGUAUAGGGUGUGACACCUGCCCGGUGCCGGAAGGUUAAUUGAUGGGGUUAGCGCAAGCGAAGCUCUUGAUCGAAGCCCCGGUAAACGGCGGCCGUAACUAUAACGGUCCUAAGGUAGCGAAAUUCCUUGUCGGGUAAGUUCCGACCUGCACGAAUGGUGUAACCAUGGCCAUGCUGUCUCCACCCGAGACUCAGUGAAAUCGAAUUCGCCGUGAAGAUGCGGUGUACCCGCGGCUAGACGGAAAGACCCCGUGAACCUUUACUACAGCUUGGCACUGAACAUUGAACCUACAUGUGUAGGAUAGGUGGGAGGCUUUGAAGGCGUGACGCCAGUUGCGCUGGAGCCGUCCUUGAAAUACCACCCUUGUAUGUUUGAUGUUCUAACGCAGGCCCGUGAAUCCGGGUCGCGGACAGUGCCUGGUGGGUAGUUUGACUGGGGCGGUCUCCUCCCAAAGAGUAACGGAGGAGCACGAAGGUUGGCUAAUCCUGGUCGGACAUCAGGAGGUUAGUGCAAUGGCAUAAGCCAGCUUAACUGCGAGACGGACAGGUCGAGCAGGUACGAAAGUAGGUCAUAGUGAUCCGGUGGUUCUGAAUGGAAGGGCCAUCGCUCAACGGAUAAAAGGUACUCCGGGGAUAACAGGCUGAUACCGCCCAAGAGUUCAUAUCGACGGCGGUGUUUGGCACCUCGAUGUCGGCUCAUCACAUCCUGGGGCUGAAGUCGGUCCCAAGGGUAUGGCUGUUCGCCAUUUAAAGUGGUACGCGAGCUGGGUUCAGAACGUCGUGAGACAGUUCGGUCCCUAUCUGCCGUGGGCGUUGGAUGAUUGAAGGGAGUUGCUCCUAGUACGAGAGGACCGGAGUGAACGAACCUCUGGUGUUCGGGUUGUCACGCCAGUGGCACUGCCCGGUAGCUAAGUUCGGAAUCGAUAACCGCUGAAAGCAUCUAAGCGGGAAGCGAGCCCUGAGAUGAGUCAUCCCUGACCCCUUGAGGGUCCUAAAGGGCCGUUGGAGACCACAACGUUGAUAGGUGGGGUGUGUAAGCGCGGCGACGUGUUGAGCUAACCCAUACUAAUUACCCGUGAGGCUUAACC